GCGCUCACUGAUGAUGAGGUUAUCUCGUAUCUUCUCGCUAGUAUUCCUUCUGAUUAUGAUCCUUUUGUUACUUCAAUGACCACGAAGAGCGAGCCCCUCACACUCGACAAUGUCUUUGCGCACUUGAUGGCGUACGAGG
rnacentral:snoRNA from 1 species